AUGGGAGACACAGCAGAGAAUAAGGGCAUGGAAGAGAGUCUCUUUAUCAAAGAGAUAUACGAGGAAAGAGAUAGCGAUUCUUCAGCUACUCUAACAUGGCAAUUGUUCUGUCAAGAAGUGAAAAAAAUGGGUUUCAUAGCAGGACCCAUGGUCGCUGUGGUUCUCUCUCAGUACCUCUUGCAAGUUAUUUCCAUGACUAUGGUUGGUCACCUUGGUGAACUUGCUCUCUCUAGCACCGCCAUA
rnacentral:misc_RNA from 1 species